GGGAUGNGACACGGCCCAGAUUCCUACGGGAGGCAGCAGUGGGGAAUAUUGCACAAUGGGGGAAAGCCUGAUGCAGCAACGCCGCGUGAGGGAUGACGGCCUUCGGGUUGUAAACCUCUUUUAGCAGGGAAGAAGCGAAAGUGACGGUACCUGCAGAAAAAGCGCCGGCUAACUACGUGCCAGCAGCCGCGGUAAUACGUAGGGCGCAAGCGUUAUCCGGAAUUAUUGGGCGUAAAGAGCUCGUAGGCGGUUUGUCGCGUCUGCUGUGAAAUCCCGAGGCUCAACCUCGGGCCUGCAGUGGGUACGGGCAGACUAGAGUGCGGUAGGGGAGAUUGGAAUUCCUGGUGUAGCGGUGGAAUGCGCAGAUAUCAGGAGGAACACCGAUGGCGAAGGCAGAUCUCUGGGCCGUAACUGACGCUGAGGAGCGAAAGGGUGGGGAGCAAACAGGCUUAGAUACCCUGGUAGUCCACCCCGUAAACGUUGGGAACUAGUUGUGGGGUCCAUUCCACGGAUUCCGUGACGCAGCUAACGCAUUAAGUUCCCCGCCUGGGGAGUACGGCCGCAAGGCUAAAACUCAAAGGAAUUGACGGGGACCCGCACAAGCGGCGGAGCAUGCGGAUUAAUUCGAUGCAACGCGAAGAACCUUACCAAGGCUUGACAUAUACGAGAACGGGCCAGAAAUGGUCAACUCUUUGGACACUCGUAAACAGGUGGUGCAUGGUUGUCGUCAGCUCGUGUCGUGAGAUGUUGGGUUAAGUCCCGCAACGAGCGCAACCCUCGUUUUAUGUUGCCAGCACGUAAUGGUGGGAACUCAUGGGAUACUGCCGGGGUCAACUCGGAGGAAGGUGGGGAUGACGUCAAAUCAUCAUGCCCNUUAUGUNNUGGUCUUCACGCAUGCUACAAUGGCCGGUACAAAGGGCUGCAAUAUCCGUGAGGUGGAUGCGAAUCCCAAAAAGCCGGUCCCAGUUCGGAUUGAGGUUUGCAACUCGACCUCCUGAAGUCGGAGUCGCUAGUAAUCGCAG
rnacentral:rRNA from 1 species